AGAGCUUUGCUAGUGAAGAGACAAAAAUGAAACGGCAGGAAUAGGAACAAUGGGCAGAAUUUGAAUGUCUUCAUUUUGUACAUGUGCAGCUGAAUUUCAUACUGGUCUGACAGCUCUGGAACCUCGAGGGGUGAGAUUUUUGAAGUGAUUGCACCAGGAUGUAAGUGCGUGAACAGCAGCCUUUUCCUUUCUAAUCAGGCUGCUCCAUUCAGUGAUAUGCGGGCCAGGGCUGCUGAUGCCCCACUUUAUAGCCGGGACUGGGAGCAUCCUCACAACACAGCUUGGCUUUCGCUGUUUGGUGCCUGAACCUGCUUCUGAGAAGUGUGUGGAGCCAUCAGGACAAGGAAGCAGUGGGAAGUCGGAGCAUCAGUGCCACCGACAUAAGCAAAGGGAUUGUCUGGAGGAUACUUCGUGGCACAAGGGAAAGGAACAGAGCUUGCUCUGCCGAGCCUCGGCGUGAGCAGACCCCCACCCAGAAGACACAGGAGUUCUGUGGUGUAGCCACGAUGGCUAUUAUCAUUAUUUGUAUAACAGUAGCACUGAGAGGCCCCCAGCUGAGAUCAGCAUCCCAUUGUGUUCGGUGCUGUGUAGAUAGAGAGGGAGAGAGAGUCUAUACCUCAAAGAGCUUAGAGCAUACAUAGACAAAGGAUGGGAGAAGAGACUUGCCACAGGGUUACCCAGCAGGUCAAUAGCAGAGUUAGGAACAGAACCCAGGUCUCCUAAGUCCCAACCCAGUGUCCUACCCAAUGGACCAUGCUGCCGCUCUAGCACCAGUUGGGGGUCAGCCUCUCCCUGCUGCAGCUUUUUUGCCUUUCUUGGAGAAAAACCUGGCUCCAACCCUUCACGCCAGAUUUCGCUCCUCCACUUUGCCGAGACGGAGCUAGAACAGGCUAGAGGAGCUGCAAAGUGGGCUCCCACCUAGCCCUAGCCCCAGUGCUCUUAGGGUUCCCCCCUGGAGUCUUCUCAUAGCUCGCUCUCUCCGUCAGCCACUAACUUGGAAAGAGCUUCCCAGUCCAGCCACGUGGAGGUGGGGGUGAUUCCCAGUACAGCUCGCUGCAGGUGGAGGUGGGGGUGAUUUGGCUGAAGGAAGGCUGGGCAAAUGCAGCAAUAGGAAAUUUUAUUUACUCCUCCAAGGAGGGAGGGGGCUGGCUCUGCUCCUCUCAACCCCAGAUCCCCCUGUUUUACUCUGGGAAGGGGCUGAUGCUGUGAUUCUCACCCCCCGAGCCCUCCUGUCUCACCCAGGCAGGGGGCUGUCUCUGCCCCUUUAAACCCCAGAGCCCCCUUUAUCCUCCUCUGAAGCUCUCCCCAUAACCCUAACCUUGAGCCCCCACUCUCCCAUGGGGCAACUCUCCCACGGGGCAACUGCUGUCAUGAGAAAGCAGCUUUUCUCUUUUUCUCCCUUCCCUUUAAGCCAGUAGGGCCGACAGAAAGGGCCUAGGCAACUGGGAGAAGCUAAAAACUGCCAGCGAUUGUAACCACCCUGCGGGCCCCAGCUCCGGGUGCCUCAUUCCCCACAGUCACUCUAUUGUCUGCACAAAGACAAGUUCCAAGCUCCUUCAGGAACAUGGGAAAUAGUGGGUGGUUGGCAGCCUUGGCCUCUUCCCUUUCAUCUUUCACCCCCCACCACCACGGCCAGAUGAGUUUUUAGUCUAUUUUCUCCUCUUCUCCUUCCUCCUCCUCCUCCCCCCAGUCUCACUAGCUUUCUCCUGGUGUCUCCAUCCGCUCGGUCUCUCCGUCCAGGCGCCUGCCUGAGAGCUCUUGAUCUGAUUCCCACAUCGCACAAACAGCCCUGGAUGUUUUGAACAGGGUUGCAAGUCUCUUUAGUGAAGGUUUGAAUGCCAGACCCCCAGGACAGGAGAGGAAGCCUCCUGCAGACCCGCUACAAACAACUCGCCCAGCCAGUGGCAACAGGACUCCUCUGGAUUUUUGGCAUAAUUCAGAACAGCUGCUGGGAAUGAAUUCUAUGAUUAAAUGUGGAGAGCGAGCUCCUCUGGGGGGUGGCAGCUCCAAGCCACUGGAGCAGCACCACAGUGGGGGAGCCAGAGCGUGGUCCCUUAAUAUCCACAUCAGGCUACAUUGCCACAGGGGGGUGGAGAUGCCCAUGAAUGAACAUGGACACAACUGUCCUCCCAGCCUGCUAUAGAGGGUGCAGACACAAGGACCAUUGGUGCAGCCCUCACCACAAUUAAUCCUAUUUACCCCUUUCAGUUGGGGGGUCCCAAAGUCUAUUACUGGCAUUACUGAUUUAAUCCCAAACAACCCCUCCAGUGAGGGAGGCAAGCAUCACCCUUAUUCACAGAUGGGGAAACUGAGGCACGGAGCUGGGAAAUGACUUGCCCAGGGUCAUGCAGUGAGCGAGGGGCAGAGCUGGGAACAGAACCUCUGUUCCCGCUUCCCAAGCCGAGGCUGUAACCACAAGGCCCACUCCUCACAAAGGAGUCCUGGGGUGAAUGAACAGGGGAGCUGCGCAGCCUUCUCACUCAGUCUAGGACAAGGCGUUCCCCUCAGCCCUGGGCUACACUGACUGAGCAGCGUGGAAACAACACACUCCCUUGUCUCCUAGAACAUAACCACUGCCCUGCUCAAUGAAUUAACCUCAGCUGGUUCUAAGCUUCCUGGGAAAGGGUUUGCUCUGCUCAGAGGUGCCCAAAUACCUUCCUAUCUUAGUCUGGUUAUCCCGCCCCGGCCCCUUUCUAGAGCAAUCAGGGAGGGCUGCAGCUCCUGUGAUUACCUCCCAUCAUCCCAACACUGCAUUUACAUUCCCUUCCUGCAAAUAGCAUGAAAUUAAAGCAAAUCAACAACACAAUUAUGCCCAUCGCAUGCACAGAGGGAUGGGAUGACACCCAUGAGAUAAGGAUGAGGCUGUGACAUGAAGCAACAAAUCCAGGCAAGGUGAUGCUUCAGACAAACCCUCCACCCCCAGCAAGGGCCCCCCGAGGGUUCAUUUUGGUGCAUUAGGUAAGGAGCCAGUGUGCUGCCUCCUCACGGCACAGCCUUAAUAUAUUGGACUCAAUUCAUCCCUGAUGUAACAAUGAAGGCAAUGGAAUUACACCAGGAAUCAGCCUGGCCCAUAUUGCUUUGUACAGGGAUUGCCUGGGGGGGUUAAAGAGUUGAAACGAAUUAACUAGUUCUAGUACGUACGAGUUCUACAUGUGCAAACUGCCUCCUUUCGAAUCGUGCCUAUCCGUCCGUGUUCGUUCACAGCGCACCCAUCAGUGCCGGAACUCAGCAUCAACGGGUACUUACAUGUUGGAACAUGUACAAAAGGUGUCUUUAAAGAUUCAUGCCUACCACAAGCUCACACAA